GUAGUCAUAUGCUUGUCUCAAAGAUUAAGCCAUGCAUGUCUAAGUAUAAGCAAUUAUACAGCGAAACUGCGAAUGGCUCAUUAUAUAAGUUAUCGUUUAUUUGAUAGUGCCUUACUACUUGGAUAACCGUGGUAAUUCUAGAGCUAAUACAUGCUAAAAACCCCGACUUCGGAAGGGGUGUAUUUAUUAGAUACAAAACCAAUGCCCUUCGGGGCUCCUUGGUGAUUCAUGAUAACUAUACGAAUCGCACGGCCUUGCGCCGGCGAUGGUUCAUUCAAAUUUCUUCCCUAUCAACUUUCGAUGUUUGGGUAUUGGCCAAACAUGGUUGCAACGGGUAACGG
rnacentral:rRNA from 1 species